UACGAAGGGGCUAGCGUUGCUCGGAAUUACUGGGCGUAAAGGGCGCGUAGGCGGCACUGUUAGUCAGGCGUGAAAGUCCUGGGCUCAACCUGGGAACUGCGCUUGAUACGGCAGAGCUAGAGGAUGGAAGAGGGUCGCGGAAUUCCCAGUGUAGAGGUGAAAUUCGUAGAUAUUGGGAAGAACACCGGUGGCGAAGGCGGCGACCUGGUCCAUUACUGACGCUGAGGCGCGACAGCGUGGGAGCAACAGG
rnacentral:rRNA from 1 species